rnacentral:rRNA from 1 species
UACGUAGGGUGCAAGCGUUAAUCGGAAUUACUGGGCGUAAAGCGUGCGCAGGCGGUUUUGUAAGUCUGUCGUGAAAUCCCCGGGCUCAACCUGGGAAUUGCGAUGGAGACUGCAAGGCUAGAAUCUGGCAGAGGGGGGUAGAAUUCCACGUGUAGCAGUGAAAUGCGUAGAGAUGUGGAGGAACACCGGUGGCGAAGGCGGCAUCCUGGACCAACACUGACACUGAGGAGCGAAAGCCAGGGGAGCAAACGGG